AUAUUUUUAUUAGAUUAUUAUUAUGGAUGCUCUGUUUCCAUAUAGCCACUAUAGGGUCAUAUAUCGUUUGGUACGAUGAAAUCAGGGAAGGACGGAAUGCAGCCUUGAUGACAUUUUAGUUGCUUGAAAAGCUAAAAAAGGAAUUACGUUUUCUUUCUUUGUUAAGAGGAGUACAUCAUUAAAUUGAAGAGAAGAGAGAGAAGCAGAGAAGAUAAAGAGAGCAACGGGGGUUAGAGAGUGAACAAGCGAUUGGAGAGAUAACGGGAAAGAGACAGAGAGAGAGAGAGACAAUGGAGAAGGGGAGACCAGGCACGGCCUCCGGCCAUCCACCUUAAAAGUAGUAUAUAAUAAUUUUUAUAUACUUUCAGACUCCAAGUUGUAAAUUCCUCAUUCGUGUUUUAUAUUUGGAAAUUUAUAACGAGCCAUGGGAUACUUAUGAAUCGAACUUGUCAAGCAAUCUCAGUAAGCACCAUGUACCAAAGAACUUCGUGGAGAAGCUUGCUUUCAGUACAGUGAAGCUACUGAGAAUUCCAACUGAUUUAUUUUUCAAGGUGUCUUUCUUCCUUAUGAUAUUAUGCAAAUGUUUAUCAUUAAUUAAUUAUCUAUUUACUAAGUCCCAACUAUCGAUACAUAAGGCUGGUUAGGUAUGGUUAGUACAUAAGGAGUUAUGGGAAGGAUCGACACCGAAUCUACAUAGAACACACAUUUGACAGAAGUUUAAGCCAUGGAACAUGUAAAUGGACUUUGGAUAAGUUAAGAAUGAUGUUGCUACUUUGGAAAUAACAUUUUGUUUAAUAUUA